UAUAUCCUACAUUUUGAUUGUAAACAAAUCGGCAUUGGAUGCCAAGUCCGCAGAAAAAGUUCGUUCUAAAAAUAACACAAGAAACAAACAGACGUAUGGAAGCCCAGUGGUGUGCAUACAUUAACGUGCAUGAUCAGUUCAGUAAUGACAUUGUUUUAAAGACCAAUGAUUUAAUUUUAUUUUUUUGAAGACUGAAAACCUAACAACAAAAAAACGCGAACAC
rnacentral:lncRNA from 1 species